GAUGAACGCUGGCGGCGUGCCUUAAGCAUGCAAGUCGGACGGGAUUUUGGAGUCGCAAGAUUUUGAUUUCUAGUGGCGGACGGGUGAGUAGAAGCAGGGAACGUACCCCUUACUGUGGGAUAGCUCGUCGAAAGACGGGGUAAUACCGCAUGAGAACGCAAGUUCAAAGCGCUUAACUGCGCGGUGAGGGAGCGGCCCUGCACUUAUCAGCUAGUUGGUGGGGUAAAAGCCUACCAAGGCUACGACGAGUAGGGGGUGUUAGAGCAUGACCCCCCACAAUGGCACUGAGACACGGGCCAUACAUCUACGGAUGGCAGCAACUGGGAAUAUUCGGCAAUGGGCGAAAGCCUGACCGAGCGACGCCGCGUGAGGGAUGAAGUAUUUCGGUAUGUAAACCUCUUUUGCAUAUGUGGACACACAUAGGCGAAUAAGCACCUACAAACUACGUGCCAGCAGUCGCGGUAAUACGUAGGGUGCAAGCGUUAUCCGGAUUUACUGGGCGUAAAGUGUCGUGUAGGCGGUUUACCGCAUCGUAUCUGAAAGCCCGAGGCUUAACCUCGGCGUUGGAUACGAGAUGGGUAUGACUUAUGAGGAUUGGAGAGGAAAGGGGAACUCAUGGUGAAGCAGUGAAAUGCGUUGAUAUCAUGAGGAACACCAAAGGCGAAGGCACCUUUCUGGCCAAUACCUGACGCUGAGACACGAAAGCUAGGGGAGCGAAGCAGAUUAGAGACCUGCGUAGUCCUAGCCCUAAACGCAUGUCUGCUAGUUACUCUGCCGCAAGGUGGAGCGACGUAAGCUAACGCGUUAAGCAGACCGCCUGGGGACUACGAGCGCAAGCUUAAAACUCAAAGGAAUUGACGGGGACCCGCACAACCAGUGGAGCGUGUGGUUCAAUUCGAGACAAAGCGAAGGACCUCACCAGGGUUUGACAUGUUAUCGUUUUAACCACCCAGAAAUGGGAGGCUAUCCGCAAGGAUGAUAGCACAGCUGCUGCAUGGCUGUCGUCAGCUCGUGCCGUGGGGUGUUCCCUUAAGUGGGACAACGAGCGCAACCCCUAUCCAAUGUUACAAGUGUCAUUGGAGACCGCCCACUCUCAGAGUACAGAACUGUUUUUCUGUAUUGUGAGAGUGGGAGGAAGGAGGGGACGACGUCAAGUCAGCACGGCGCUUAUGCCCUGGGCCACACACACCCUACAAUGGCGAAUAACAACGGGACGCAAGGUAGUAAUGCCAAGCAAAUCUCUUAAAUUUCGCCUCAAUUCAGAUUGAGGUCUGCAACUCGACCUCAUGAAGUUGGAAUUGGUAGUAAUCGCGGAUCAGCAGGCCGCGGUGAAUACGUUCUCGGGUCUUGUACACACCGCCCGUCAAGCCACCAAAGUUGAAUGUACCCGAAGGUUCGUUUACGAGUCGAAGGUAAAGUCAGCGAUGGGGACU
rnacentral:rRNA from 1 species